rnacentral:rRNA from 1 species
GAUCAUGGCUCAGGAUGAACGCUAGCGACAGGCUUAACACAUGCAAGUCGAGGGGCAGCACGGUGUAGCAAUACACUGGUGGCGACCGGCGCACGGGUGAGUAACACGUGUGCAACCAACCCCGUACCGGGAGAUAACCCGCGGAAACGUGGACUAACAUCCCAUGACACUCUAGAGCCGCAUGGCUCUAGAUUUAAAAUUCCGGUGGUACGGGACGGGCACGCGCGACAUUAGGUAGUUGGCGGGUAAGGG